rnacentral:rRNA from 1 species
UCCAGACUCCUACGGGAGGCAGCAGUGAGGAAUAUUGGUCAAUGGGCGGGAGCCUGAACCAGCCGAGCCGCGUGAAGGAAGAAGGCGCCAGGCGUCGUAAACUUCUUUUGUCGGGGAACAAAGGGCGCCACGUGUGGCGUUGUGAGUGUACCCGAAGAAAAAGCAUCGGCUAACUCCGUGCCAGCAGCCGCGGUAAUACGGAGGGUGCGAGCGUUAAUCGGAAUUACUGGGCGUAAAGCGCUCGUAGGCGGUAUGUCAAGUCAAGGGUGAAAUCCCCGCGCUCAACGUGGGAACUGCCUUUGAAACUGGCAAACUGGAGUGUGUGAGAGGAUAGUGGAAUUCCAGGUGUAGGAGUGAAAUCCGUAGAUAUCUGGAGGAACAUCAGUGGCGAAGGCGGCCACCUGGACCGGUAUUGACGCUGAGGCGCGAAAGCGUGGGGAGCAAACAGGAUUAGAUACCCGCGUAU